GGGUUAGGAUUUGAAGAUGAGCCUGCCUCCCACUAGGGGAGACAGGAAGUGCACGGUCCAUCCUUGGAGAGACCACUGCCCCGGCCCCCAACAUGCAGGUAAGUUUCGCCUUUGCUAUAUCAAGUAUCAACAGUUUGUCUUUGUUUAACCAUCUUUCUUUCCCUUACUUUCUCCCAUCCCACUGUUUCUUUGCUUCUACCCUACUUGGGGAGCAUUUUUCUUAGGCUUAUCCCACCCUCGUGUGUUGCUUGCCGGCUACGUUUCGACUUAGUUUAGUCUUCUUCAGGCCCAACACACGUUUUCCAUUGGCACCCCCUGAGCUGACUGCUUCCUCGACGUCGGAGACAAACUGAAUGAACAGGUAAGUAUAUUCGUGCUUUUAUAGUCUGUGUUUAACAUUUUCCUUCUUUUAGGUUUUAUUAUUUUGUUUUAAAUCGUCGCCUUCCCAGAUUAGGGUUAGGGUUAGUCAGAAGGUAAGUAUAGCUAGGGGUAGGUAGGGUUAGGGUUAGGGUUGACUGACCAGGUAAGUAUAGGGUAAAGGGGAAUAGGGAUAGGGGUAGUAGCUUAGCUUAGCUUCAUCUUGAAUAUAGUUAGCCCAAAUUAGGGUUUAAAGUUAAGGGGUGGGACAGCGGCCCCUUGAGCCCAAGGAGGCACUGGCUGAGUUAGGAUUUGAAGAUGAGCCUGCCUCCCACUAGGGGAGACAGGAAGUGCACGGUCCAUCCUUGGAGAGACCACUGCCCCGGCCCCCAACAUGCAGGUAAGUUUCGCCUUUGCUAUAUCAAGUAUCAACAGUUUGUCUUUGUUUAACCAUCUUUCUUUCCCUUACUUUCUCCCAUCCCACUGUUUCUUUGCUUCUACCCUACUUGGGGAGCAUUUUUCUUAGGCUUAUCCCACCCUCGUGUGUUGCUUGCCGGCUACGUUUCGACUUAGUUUAGUCUUCUUCAGGCCCAACACACGUUUUCCAUUGGCACCCCCUGAGCUGACUGCUUCCUCGACGUCGGAGACAAACUGAAUGAACAGGUAAGUAUAUUCGUGCUUUUAUAGUCUGUGUUUAACAUUUUCCUUCUUUUAGGUUUUAUUAUUUUGUUUUAAAUCGUCGCCUUCCCAGAUUAGGGUUAGGGUUAGUCAGAAGGUAAGUAUAGCUAGGGGUAGGUAGGGUUAGGGUUAGGGUUGACUGACCAGGUAAGUAUAGGGUAAAGGGGAAUAGGGAUAGGGGUAGUAGCUUAGCUUAGCUUCAUCUUGAAUAUAGUUAGCCCAAAUUAGGGUUUAAAGUUAAGGGGUGGGACAGCGGCCCCUUGAGCCCAAGGAGGCACUGGCUGAGUUAGGAUUUGAAGAUGAGCCUGCCUCCCACUAGGGGAGACAGGAAGUGCACGGUCCAUCCUUGGAGAGACCACUGCCCCGGCCCCCAACAUGCAGGUAAGUUUCGCCUUUGCUAUAUCAAGUAUCAACAGUUUGUCUUUGUUUAACCAUCUUUCUUUCCCUUACUUUCUCCCAUCCCACUGUUUCUUUGCUUCUACCCUACUUGGGGAGCAUUUUUCUUAGGCUUAUCCCACCCUCGUGUGUUGCUUGCCGGCUACGUUUCGACUUAGUUUAGUCUUCUUCAGGCCCAACACACGUUUUCCAUUGGCACCCCCUGAGCUGACUGCUUCCUCGACGUCGGAGACAAACUGAAUGAACAGGUAAGUAUAUUCGUGCUUUUAUAGUCUGUGUUUAACAUUUUCCUUCUUUUAGGUUUUAUUAUUUUGUUUUAAAUCGUCGCCUUCCCAGAUUAGGGUUAGGGUUAGUCAGAAGGUAAGUAUAGCUAGGGGUAGGUAGGGUUAGGGUUAGGGUUGACUGACCAGGUAAGUAUAGGGUAAAGGGGAAUAGGGAUAGGGGUAGUAGCUUAGCUUAGCUUCAUCUUGAAUAUAGUUAGCCCAAAUUAGGGUUUAAAGUUAAGGGGUGGGACAGCGGCCCCUUGAGCCCAAGGAGGCACUGGCUGAGUUAGGAUUUGAAGAUGAGCCUGCCUCCCACUAGGGGAGACAGGAAGUGCACGGUCCAUCCUUGGAGAGACCACUGCCCCGGCCCCCAACAUGCAGGUAAGUUUCGCCUUUGCUAUAUCAAGUAUCAACAGUUUGUCUUUGUUUAACCAUCUUUCUUUCCCUUACUUUCUCCCAUCCCACUGUUUCUUUGCUUCUACCCUACUUGGGGAGCAUUUUUCUUAGGCUUAUCCCACCCUCGUGUGUUGCUUGCCGGCUACGUUUCGACUUAGUUUAGUCUUCUUCAGGCCCAACACACGUUUUCCAUUGGCACCCCCUGAGCUGACUGCUUCCUCGACGUCGGAGACAAACUGAAUGAACAGGUAAGUAUAUUCGUGCUUUUAUAGUCUGUGUUUAACAUUUUCCUUCUUUUAGGUUUUAUUAUUUUGUUUUAAAUCGUCGCCUUCCCAGAUUAGGGUUAGGGUUAGUCAGAAGGUAAGUAUAGCUAGGGGUAGGUAGGGUUAGGGUUAGGGUUGACUGACCAGGUAAGUAUAGGGUAAAGGGGAAUAGGGAUAGGGGUAGUAGCUUAGCUUAGCUUCAUCUUGAAUAUAGUUAGCCCAAAUUAGGGUUUAAAGUUAAGGGGUGGGACAGCGGCCCCUUGAGCCCAAGGAGGCACUGGCUGAGUUAGGAUUUGAAGAUGAGCCUGCCUCCCACUAGGGGAGACAGGAAGUGCACGGUCCAUCCUUGGAGAGACCACUGCCCCGGCCCCCAACAUGCAGGUAAGUUUCGCCUUUGCUAUAUCAAGUAUCAACAGUUUGUCUUUGUUUAACCAUCUUUCUUUCCCUUACUUUCUCCCAUCCCACUGUUUCUUUGCUUCUACCCUACUUGGGGAGCAUUUUUCUUAGGCUUAUCCCACCCUCGUGUGUUGCUUGCCGGCUACGUUUCGACUUAGUUUAGUCUUCUUCAGGCCCAACACACGUUUUCCAUUGGCACCCCCUGAGCUGACUGCUUCCUCGACGUCGGAGACAAACUGAAUGAACAGGUAAGUAUAUUCGUGCUUUUAUAGUCUGUGUUUAACAUUUUCCUUCUUUUAGGUUUUAUUAUUUUGUUUUAAAUCGUCGCCUUCCCAGAUUAGGGUUAGGGUUAGUCAGAAGGUAAGUAUAGCUAGGGGUAGGUAGGGUUGGGGUUAGGGUUAACUGACCAGGUAAGUAUAGGGUAAAGGGGAAUAGGGAUAGGGGUAGUAGCUUAGCUUAGCUUCAUCUUGAAUAUAGUUAGCCCAAAUUAGGGUUUAAAGUUAAGGGGUGGGACAGCGGCCCCUUGAGCCCAAGGAGGCACUGGCUGAGUUAGGAUUUGAAGAUGAGCCUGCCUCCCACUAGGGGAGACAGGAAGUGCACGGUCCAUCCUUGGAGAGACCACUGCCCCGGCCCCCAACAUGCAGGUAAGUUUCGCCUUUGCUAUAUCAAGUAUCAACAGUUUGUCUUUGUUUAACCAUCUUUCUUUCCCUUACUUUCUCCCAUCCCACUGUUUCUUUGCUUCUACCCUACUUGGGGAGCAUUUUUCUUAGGCUUAUCCCACCCUCGUGUGUUGCUUGCCGGCUACGUUUCGACUUAGUUUAGUCUUCUUCAGGCCCAACACACGUUUUCCAUUGGCACCCCCUGAGCUGACUGCUUCCUCGACGUCGGAGACAAACUGAAUGAACAGGUAAGUAUAUUCGUGCUUUUAUAGUCUGUGUUUAACAUUUUCCUUCUUUUAGGUUUUAUUAUUUUGUUUUAAAUCGUCGCCUUCCCAGAUUAGGG